UACGGAAGGCAGCAGUGGGGAAUAUUGCACAAUGGGCGAAAGCCUGAUGCAGCUAUGCCGCGUGUAUGAAGAAGGCCUUAGGGUUGUAAAGUACUUUCAUCGGGGAGGAAAAACAAAACUAAUAAUUUUAUUUCUUGACGUUACCCGAAAAAGAAGCACCGGCUAACUCCGUGCCAGCAGCCGCGGUAAUACGGAGGGUGCUAGCGUUAAUCAGAAUUACUGGGCGUAAAGAGCACGUAGGUGGUUUUUUUAAGUCAGAUGUGAAAUCCCUGGGCUUAACCUAGGAACUGCAUUUGAAACUGAAAUACUAGAGUAUCGUAGAGGGAGGUAGAAUUCUAGGUGUAGCGGUGAAAUGCGUAGAUAUCUGGAGGAUACCUGUGGCGAAAGCGGCCUCCUAAACGAAUACUGACACUGAGGUGCGAAAGCGUGGGGAGCAAACGAGGAUUAGACUACC
rnacentral:rRNA from 1 species